AACGAACGCUGGCGGCAGGCUUAACACAUGCAAGUCGAACGCCCCGCAAGGGGAGUGGCAGACGGGUGAGUACCGCGUGGGAACAUACCCUUUCCUGCGGAAUAGCUCCGGGAAACUGGAAUUAAUACCGCAUACGCCCUACGGGGGAAAGAUUUAUCGGGGAAGGAUUGGCCCGCGUUGGCUUAGCUAGUUGGUGGGGUAAAGGCCUACCAAGGCGACGAUCCAUAGCUGGUCUGAGAGGAUGAUCAGCCACAUUGGGACUGAGACACGGCCCAAACUCCUACGGGAGGCAGCAGUGGGGAAUAUUGGACAAUGGGCGCAAGCCUGAUCCAGCCAUGCCGGGUGAGUGAUGAAGGCCUUAGGGUUGUAAAGCUCUUUCACCGAUGAAGAUAAUGACGGUAGUCGGAGAAGAAGCCCCGGCUAACUUCGUG
rnacentral:rRNA from 1 species